GAUAACCGCUGAAAGCAUCUAAGCGGGAAGCGAGCCUCAAGAUGAGUCAUCCCUGAUACUUUAAGUAUCCUAAAGGGUUGUUGGAGACUACGACGUAGAUAGGCAGGGUGUGUAAGCGCUGUGAGGCGUUGAGCUAACCUGUACUAAUUGCCCGUGAGGCUUAACCAUACAACACCCAAGGGGUUU
rnacentral:rRNA from 4 species